rnacentral:sRNA from 12 species
CCCUGACAGGCGCAUCCCGUGCCUGACACUAGCCAAGACAGGAGAUACUCAUG